ensembl:snRNA U6 U6 spliceosomal RNA
AUGCUCGCUUCAGCAGCACAUACCCUAAAAUUAGAACGAUACAGAGAAUAUUAGCAUGACCCCUAUGCUUGUGUUAGAAUUUGUGAUGCGUUCCAUAUUUUU